GAUGAACGCUGGCGGCGUGCCUAAUACAUGCAAGUCGAGCGAACAGACGAGGAGCUUGCUCCUCUGACGUUAGCGGCGGACGGGUGAGUAACACGUGGAUAACCUACCUAUACUGGGAUAACUUCGGGAAACCGGAGCUAAUACCGGAUAAUAUAUUGAACCGCCUGGUUCAAUAGUGAAAGACGGUUUUGCUGUCACUUAUAGAUGGAUCCGCGCCGCAUUAGCUAGUUGGUAAGGUAACGGCUUACCAAGGCAACGAUGCGUAGCCGACCUGAGAGGGUGAUCGGCGACGCUGGAACUGAGACACGGUCCAGACUCCUACGGGAGGCAGCAGUAGGGAAUCUUCCGCAAUGGGCGAAAGCCUGACGGAGCAACGCCGCGUGAGUGAUGAAGGUCUUCGGAUCGUAAAACUCUGUUAUUAGGGAAGAACAAAUGUGUAAGUAACUAUGCGCGUCUUGACGGUACCUAAUCAGAAAGCCACGGCUAAGUACGUG
rnacentral:rRNA from 1 species